rnacentral:rRNA from 1 species
UACGUAGGGGGCAAGCGUUGUCCGGAAUCAUUGGGCGUAAAGAGCGUGUAGGCGGCCUGGUAAGUCCGCUGUGAAAGUCCAGGGCUCAACCCUGGAAUGCCGGUGGAAACUGUCAGGCUCGAGUCCGGAAGAGGCGAGUGGAAUUCCUGGUGUAGCGGUGAAAUGCGCAGAUAUCAGGAGGAACACCGGUGGCGAAGGCGGGUCUCUGGGCCGUAACUGACGCUGAGGAGCGAAAGCAUGGGGAGCGAACAGG